UGUGAUCCUGGCUCAGAUUGAACGCUGGCGGCAUGCCUUACACAUGCAAGUCGAACGGCAGCACGGGGGCAACCCUGGUGGCGAGUGGCGAACGGGUGAGUAAUACAUCGGAACGUGUCCUGUAGUGGGGGAUAGCCCGGCGAAAGCCGGAUUAAUACCGCAUACGAUCUUACGGGAAGAAAGCGGGGGAUCGCAAGACCUCGCGCUAUAGGGGCGGCCGAUGGCAGAUUAGCUAGUUGGUGGGGUAAAGGCCUACCAAGGCGACGAUCUGUAGCUGGUCUGAGAGGACGACCAGCCACACUGGGACUGAGACACGGCCCAGACUCCUACGGGAGGCAGCAGUGGGGAAUUUUGGACAAUGGGGGAAACCCUGAUCCAGCAAUGCCGCGUGUGUGAAGAAGGCCUUCGGGUUGUAAAGCACUUUUGUCCGGAAAGAAAACUUCUGCCCUAAUACGGCGGGAGGAUGACGGUACCGGAAGAAUAAGCACCGGCU
rnacentral:rRNA from 1 species